ensembl:lncRNA
UCCCAGGGUACCUGAUCAGCUCCCGACAAUUCUCUGAUUGGUUGAUGGUGACCAAUCCUGAAGGGCCAGAAGGUCUAGGGCUCCGUGCUCGUGAUCUUCAAGUCCUUAAUUUCUUCCAUUUGGUGGCGGGUUUUAGAUGAAAAACUACCCAGGAAAUAUGCAUCAGGUACUGUUAUGUAGGUACUUAAGAGAGGAGCUGAAAGCAGAGGAUUUGGGGGAGGGGUCUGUCCCGGGAUUGCCCCCUAGGGUUCUGCUGAAUCAAAAUACUUAUAGCUUUGAUUUAUUUGUUUUUUUGGUACCAUGUGAUGGUCCAUUCUUCUGAUGAUAACUUACAUUGUUUCCAUAUCUCAGUGCAAAAGGAUCUCUCAAGACAUUAACUACCAAUAUACCAAUUAACUUUUCUUCCACCUAAUUUCUCUAGAAGUUUCUCCUAAAAGCAGGAUCGCUCUACCGUAGAAUGUACAUUUUUGACCUUACGGUCAAGUUUUAAGGAUACUCCUGAGUCAUAAAAAUGAAGUGUGUAACAUUUUGCCUAUGAGUUUUAUUAAAGUGGAUCAGAAGCCAUGAAGAUGAUUAUGAUGAAGAUUACCAAAUUGAACUUGGGAUUAGGACUGGCGUAAAAAGGUGGCUCAGUGGGUAAAGAAUUUGUCUGCAAUGCAGAAGACACAGGAAGAUGUGAGUUUGAUCCCCGGGUCGGGAAGAGUGCCUGGAGGAGGGCAUGGCAACCAACUCCAGUAUUCUUUCUUGCUUGGAGAAUCCCAUGGACAGAGGAGCCUGGUAGGCUACAGUCCAUAGGGUUGCAAAGAGUCGGACAUAACUGAAGCAACUGAGUACGCAGGCAUGCUGUGUCCUUCUGCCUCACGAAGAGGUUCUGUCUUCAGGGAGCAUCAAAAUCAGCUUCAGGGCUGCUAAAACACAGAUCACUGGGACCCACCCCAGAGUUCCAGAUUCAGAAUCUGAAGUUUUAACAAAGUGCCUGAGUGGUGAAAAUGCUGCUGCUUCAGGACCACAGUCUGAGAACCACGGGACUAGAGAUUCAGAUAAAGGUUUUCAAGGUUCAGUAGGACUUCCCUCUUAAAACCUCUCCAGGCAGAGUGAAUCCACGGCCUUCCGUCCUUCCUCCCAAGUGGAAAUUACCACUGUUGUAAUCACUUUAUCACACCAGGUUGAAAUAAUUUGCUUAAACACCAACCUGCCUCUUCUGUGAGCUGUUGAAAGGUGGCUUUCACCUUUCUGAGUCUGUCCCAACCCCAAAUGAAUGCUGGGACAGCAAUGGUGAUUAAUAAACCUUCUUUGGUUUAAUAAACCAAGGACUGGAAGCUGGUUGGGAGUAAAUUCUCAACAGUGCCAAUGAUGAUCAUUCCAGACGAUGACAAUGAAGAGGAGGAGGGCGUGGAUCACCCUAGCCCAUCAGCCUGACCACCCGGUAUAUAAUAAGGACCCUCUCACAGAAUUCUGAGCACAAGUUCUCUCCUCUGGGAACCUGGGGGUGAACUCCUAUUACUAACACAUUCCCUGAGCUGAAUCUACCACAAGGAUUUUGAUCUCAGAAGAGGUCCAGCUGUGUAUCCUGACUCCAUCCCUCUGACCUAUCCCUUCAGCCAAAAACAGUCAAACAAAAAACCUGGGGCUAGGGACUGAUUAAAAUGAUUUGUUCCUAUGGUAUGCUUUAGAGAGUGCCGAGAUACCUCCUCUACUGGCCUCUACUUGUCCCAGAUUUCUACCAUUAGAGAUUCAUUCCUUUGGGUUUGUAUGUUGUGGGGGACGGAGAACCUUGUCUAACCAUCCUAGACAGAUUUGAUGCCCUCACUAGAUUAGGAGGAUCUCAAGGAAUAUGUCUCAUUUACUACUUUGUUCUUAAUGCUUAGCACAGUCUUUGGCACACAAAUAACUGCUCAAGAAAUGUUUGAAUGGAUCCUUGGAUACCAAUAGCAGUCUAGGCUGGAGAGGGUGGUGGAGCCUAAGAGUCCUCCAGGCUUGGCUGUCACUGCCUCACUCUGUUAAGAGGGAAAGUCCUUUUCCCGGGUCCUAGUUUUCCCAUGGGAACACAGAGUAUAGAUAGAAGGUCUCAUCUGAUCUCUGCCUACUUCAUACCACAGCCAUGGUGUUCCAGCCUCUGGGCUUUUCACCUGUAAAAGGCCAGGUGUCUUCCUAUGCCUGGACUACUUUGACUUCCUUUCCCUGAGAUUUUCUGGGUUUCUUUUAAGUCUUUCCACGGACAUCUCCUCAGAGAGGAUGGGCUGGUACCUCCCCAACUAAUGUUAUUCUGUAUCUGAGCAAAGAAUGAUUGCAACUUGCAAGUUUUUCUUUGUCUUCUCUGCAUCUGAGCUUUCAGGUAGUCUGAGAUUCCUGGAGACAUGGGAUGGUGCGAAUCCCAGACACCUAACACGGUACGGGGCCCCUAGGAGGUGCUCAGGGAUUAAUGGGGAUUACUGUGAAGAAAGCUGAGCACUGAAGAAUCGAUGCUUUUGAACUAUGGUGUUGGAGAAGACUCUUGAGAGUCCCUUGGAUGGUAAGGAGAUUCAACCAGUCCAUUCUAAAGGAGAUCAGUCCUGGGUGUUAAUUGGAAGGACUGAUGCUGAGGCUGAAACUCCAAUACUUUGGCCACCUCAUGUGAAGAGCUGAUUCAUUGGAAAAGACCCUGAUGCUUGGAGGGAUUGUGGGCAGGAGGAGAAGGGGACAACAGAGGAUGAGAUGGCUGGAUGGCAUCACCGACUCGAUGCAGGAGUUUGGGUGAACUUCGGGAGUUGGUGAUGGACAGGGAGGCCUGGAGUGCUGCCAUUCAUGGGGUCGCGAGGAGUCGGACAAGACUGAGAGACUGAACUGAACUGAGUCUGAAUUGAAGCAGAAAUCAGAGCAGAGGUUGUGUCCCUCCGGAGACGGCCAGCAGAUGUCGCCACAGACCGGGAGGAGGCGAGGCGGUGCGGUGGGAGGGCCUCCCGCGGGGCGGCCUCACCUGGUGGCGGCCUCACCUGCCCGCCCCGCCCCCCGCGGAAGCCAAGAGCCCGGGCUCUGGCGUCACCUGGGCAAUUGGGAAAGCGGCGCCCGGAGCCACGAGGAGGGGAGAUGAAAGGCGGGUGGCGGGUGGGGGCCGCCUGCAGCGCCAGGUGAGAGCUGGCAGCCCCGCCCAGCGCCUGGGGACCAGGCAGGAAAGCUGAGGUCCAGAGAGAGCUUUCCUGGCUCACACAGAACGUCUGUGGCUGAGCCAAGACUGGAACUAGCAUUCCUGCUUCUCACUCACACCGCUCUCAUCCCACUGCUUUUCUAGACCCGGGACACUGAGGCCUACAGAAUCAACCAGCCUGGAGCCAUCGAAGCGUCCACUCUUUAGACAGCUGUGUGUGUGUCUUGUAGCUGUGACUUGACCUUAUUGUCCUUUUACGGGCAGGAGUCAGGUUUCCUGUACCCUCGACUGUGUCAGGCAUGUGGACCUGGAACACAGUGUUGGGCACUGCCAGCCUCUUCCUUGAUGCUCCUGCUAACAGAACCUCAUCACUUGCGGGAAAAAAAGGGGCGUGUCAAGUUUGCAGGGAAGCUGGGCCCAGCCCCAGGGAUGAAACAUCUCGAGACUCUGCGUAGUCACGCCCAGGUCCUUGCUCUGUUUGAAGACAGAAGGACAGCCCAAAGCCCCGGGUUCCUUUCAUCACUUUUUUCCUCCCUUGACUUAAAGAUCUUUAUGCGGGAUGUUUAAUGCUCACACGGUGUGGAUCCUAGAACAUGCUUACAAAUGAGGAAGCCUGGGACUCAAGGAAGUUCUGUAGAUUGGUGAUUCAGAGCUUGGUCCUGUUCCCUGAAGCUGACAAAUCCUGUUCUCCCUGCAAAUCGGCCUCCCUCAUGUCCAGACCCCAACCCAUUCCUUUAUUCCUGUUUUUCUCCUUGUGUGAUUCUUGCACAUAGUAGGUUCUUGAGAGAGAGAGCAUGUGAUAUUCAUUGUCUGCUGUCUUACAUCACCAGCCAUUUACCAACCAGGGCAAGCAGAGCACCCCCUGUGUUUAGAGGGGUGCACCUGUGUGUGUCUGUUGGGGGGUGGGUGUUUAGUUGGAGAAAAUGGGCCUUGUCCACAGUAAAAAGAACAACUCCCAUUAAUCGAAGGAGUACCUAAGGUACCAGGUCUUGUGCUUUACAUAUUUUUGUUUAAGGUCUACAGUAGCUCUAGGGAAUUUUUUCAGGAAUCUCAAGCCUCUGGGACAUCAAGUGGUUUGCCCAGUCACCCAGAGCAGAUGGGAACCAGGUCUGUGUGUCUGGAACUUGUGUCUCAGCCCAGAGCAGAGAAGGUCAGCAUGUCCGGAGCCAGAGGGAGGUUCCCUCCUCUGUAGGGAGGCUUCACUGGACAGGAAGCACCUGAACUGAGUCUGGAAGGAUGGGCUAGACUCCCAGAGCAGGAGAGGGCUUGGGCAAACUCGUGGAGAUGACACAGUGUCUGUUUCAUUGGGAAAUUGGGGAUUAUUAUGGAAAAAACCAGGCCACAUGGCCCCUGUGUACCUCUUGUGAUAGAAGGUAUUGAUUAUGGGAGGGGAGUUUGGGGCAGAAUGCAUAUAUGUGUAUGUAUGGCUGAGUCCCUUUGCUGUUUAAUUGAGACAAUCACAUUUUAAAUUGGCUAUACCCCAAUACAAAAUAAAAAGUUAAAAAAAGAUGCAAUGGAGACGCAGACAUAGAGAACAGACUUACGGACACAGCGGGGGUUGCUUAGGAAGGAAAAAGUGAAAGUCGCUCAGUCGUGUCUGACUCUUUGCGACCCCGUGGACUAUACAGUCCGUGGAAUUCUCCAGGCC